ACGGAGGGUGCGAGCGUUAAUCGGAAUCACUGGGCGUAAAGCGCACGUAGGCGGUGUCGUAAGUCGGAUGUGAAAGCCCUCGGCUCAACCGGGGAACUGCAUUCGAUACUGCGACGCUUGAGUGCCGGAGAGGGAGGCGGAAUUCCAGGUGUAGGAGUGAAAUCCGUAGAGAUCUGAAGGAACACCGAUGGCGAAGGCGGCCUACUGGCCGGCUACUGACGCUGAGGUGCGAAAGCGUGGGGAUCAAACAG
rnacentral:rRNA from 1 species